rnacentral:tRNA from 2 species
GUCGGGAUAGCUCAGUGGAGAGCAGAGGACUG